rnacentral:rRNA from 1 species
GACGAACGCUGGCGGCGUGCUUAACACAUGCAAGUCGAACGGAAAGGCCCUGCUUUUGUGGGGUGCUCGAGUGGCGAACGGGUGAGUAACACGUGAGUAACCUGCCCUUGACUUUGGGAUAACUUCAGGAAACUGGGGCUAAUACCGGAUAGGAGCUCCUGCUGCAUGGUGGGGGUUGGAAAGUUUCGGCGGUUGGGGGUGGACUCGCGGCUUAUCAGCUUGUUGGUGGGGUAGUGGCUUACCAAGGCUUUGACGGGUAGCCGGCCUGGGAGGGUGACCGGCCACAUUGGGACUGAGAUACGGCCCAGACUCCUACGGGAGGCAGCAGUGGGGAAUAUUGCACAAUGGGCGGAAGCCUGAUGCAGCAACGCCGCGUGCGGGAUGACGGCCUUCGGGUUGUAAACCGCUUUCGCCUGUGACGAAGCGGGAGUGACGGUAAUGGGUAAAGAAGCACCGGCUAACUACGUG